rnacentral:tRNA from 1 species
UGUUCUGUUACGUAGCUGGUUAACGCGCCCUGUCUAGCGAACUGGGAAGUCGUAGGUUCAAAUCCCACCAAAACUA